rnacentral:rRNA from 1 species
UACGGAGGGUGCGAGCGUUGUCCGGAAUCAUUGGGCGUAAAGGGCGCGUAGGUGGCCCGGUCAGUCUUUGGUGAAAGUCGGGGGCUCAACCCUCGAAUGCCGGUGGAUACUGUCGGGCUAGAGUGCGGAAGAGGCGAGUGGAAUUCCUGGUGUAGCGGUGAAAUGCGCAGAUAUCAGGAGGAACACCGAUUGCGAAGGCAGCUCGCUGGGACGUAACUGACGCUGAGACGCGAAAGCGUGGGGAGCAAACAGG